GACGAACGCUGGCGGCGUGCCUAAUACAUGCAAGUCGAGCGCAGGAAGCCGUCCGAACCGUUCGGGGGGACGACGGUGGAAUGAGCGGCGGACGGGUGAGUAACACGUAAAGAACCUGCCCAUAGGUCUGGGAUAACCACGAGAAAUCGGGGCUAAUACCGGAUGUGUCAUCGGACCGCAUGGUCCGAUGAUGAAAGGCGCUUCGGCGUCGCCCAUGAAUGCCUUUGCGGUGCAUUAGCUAGUUGGUGGGGUAACGGCCCACCAAGGCGACGAUGCAUAGCCGACCUGAGAGGGUGAUCGGCCACACUGGGACUGAGACACGGCCCAGACUCCUACGGGAGGCAGCAGUAGGGAAUCUUCCACAAUGGACGAAAGUCUGAUGGAGCAACGCCGCGUGAACGAUGAAGGCUUUCGGGUCGUAAAGUUCUGUUGUAAGGGAAGAACAAGUGCCGCAGGCAAUGGCGGCACCUUGACGGUACCUUGCGAGAAAGCCACGGCUAACUACGUGCCAGCCGCCGCCGUAA
rnacentral:rRNA from 1 species